UUGUGUAGACGACUCUGGAAUAUAUUUUUCAUGGUUCCAAUAGCUCCGUAUGGUAAUUUUAGUCUUAGGAUCGUGCCUGGAUAUUGAUUUGAAAGUCUGUAGGUCAUUUCAACAUUAACUAGUGAAAGUUAGAAAAAUUAAGAUUGGAAUAAAAUAAUAAGAAAUUUUCGGAUUGGAAGGCUUGGGGAAAAAAACACUGAAUCUUCUUGAGACCUAUAUAUUAUUAUUAUCUCUUUCAGAUUUUUUAGAGAGAAGAAAAAACAAAUUGGGACAGAAUCUAGCGUUGAGAGAAAAGCGGGUUCUUCUUUUAGUCUCCAUUUUUAGAUUUUCGAGUUUCAUUUAGAUUUCAGAAAAAAUCAAAAAAUAAAAAUAUGACAAAAUACGCUUCUGCUUCUUCCUUUGAUUCCGAUAUUUAUUUCCAAAAUAUGGAAUUUGAUUGAGUCGAAUAUGUUAUAAGUUUUGUUCGAGGUUGGAGUCGGAAGUUUUCUAGCUGCCGUUCGUGAGUUCCGAUUGCGGUUCGUGUUCAUCUUUGUUGCCGUUUCUCUUUCGUUUGGAUUUUGGAGGCAAUAUCUUUUAUUUGGUGACUAUUCUAUUGGUGUUAAAGAUAGUCUUGGCUUAGCAGGUUCAAUUCCUUUUUCUCUUCUUCAUUUAAUCAUAUUUGAAGUGAAUCUAGUCUCAGAAGAGCCAUCAAAAGAUGGAUUAAGGUUACAAUAAUUGUUGAGAUUUGUUUAGUUUUCUUAGUGUUUUGUUCACUGUAUUCGGCAUCUCAUAUACUCUUAUCUAUGAAUUUAUAUUAGGAUCGAGUGAACUUAUUUUGUGUUGAAUUUGCAUUUGAUUUGGUUUUUAGUCAAAUAGGGAGAGGAUAUUCAUAUGAUUCUUUAUUAUUAAAAAGCUACUAAAAAAAAGAUAUCGUCCAUGUGUUUACUUAUUUUUUUAUUUAUUUAUGAUUUGAACAUGGAUUAUAUGAGUUAAAAGUUCUCAAUCGGCCUUUUACAAUCUUCAAGUAAAAAUGAAUUCAUCAUAUUUGCCGCAAAGUUAAUUUAUCACUAUUUUACUUUUCUAGUCUAUUAAAGUUGAUGUGAAGUUGGUUUUAGACUACCAUUGGAGUUGAAAUCUCUUUAUUCUUUAAAAUCUAAAAGUCUGGAACUUAGCAUUAAUGAAUUUAGUAUCUCAGUAUCCUAAAGAGUUGUUGUCAUCAAGUUGGAUGCUUGGCAUGUUUGUUAAAAUGAGUUUCUUUAUUAAUUUGCAUAUUUUAGUAUAGUAUCCAUAAGAAUGUGAGCUUAAGCUUGGUUUGUUUGGGGUAUUAAAAUGAUCUGGAGUAAUUUGAAACUGGAGAGGCAAGUCAACACACAAUUGGGUUGUAGGAUUAAAUAAAAGAAAAAGAAACAAAACAAUUUUAAGUGUGAACCUAGAAAUCUGACAUGGAUAGAGUUGGAAAUCUUUGAAUGGCUCUGUCUGAUGGCUUGAUUCACUUUUCUCGCUUUUUGUUAUUUUAGUUUUCCCUAAUUCUAUCUUUCUUAAAUGGUUUCUAUGUCUAUUUAUUGGACGUUUAUUUUGAUGAUUGGUAUGGUUGAACUCGUCGUUGAAUGAGUUUUUGAAUUUUUGUACUUUUGGUCGUGUUCCAAGAUUCGGGCUCGGAUUGACUUAUUAUUUUUUCGUAAAGAUCAUAAUUUUAUUGUUCGAAUUAAUUUUAUAUAGUUGUAUUUAUAGUACGCAGUUGUUUUGGCUAGAUUCGAGGCGAUUGGAAUUGAAAAAUCGAGGGAAAGGCAUCCUUAUCGAUUGAUUGAGCGAGAUUUGAAAUCCAGGUACUUCCUAUCGGACCAGGUAUCAGUGAACUAGCUGUACACAGAGAAUUCAAGGUACAUCUGCCAGCGUCCGCAGACCUCGGAGUCCCCCUCUAUCCUUAUUAUGUUGUCUUCCUUAUUUCUCUUUUGACUCUGAUGUAUUGAGACACUCAGAAUAAAUUCUUAGAAGCUUGUGACUUA